rnacentral:rRNA from 1 species
UUGAACGCUGGCGGCAUGCUUUACACAUGCAAGUCGAACGAUGGCUUCGGCCAUAGUGGCGCACGGGUGAGUAACGCGUGGGAACCUACCCUGAAGUGGGGGAUAACCUCGGGAAACUGAGGCUAAUACCGCAUGUGCCCUGCGGGGCAAAGGCUUCGGCCGCUUUGGGAUGGGCCCGCGCCCGAUUAGGUAGUUGGUGAGGUAACGGCUCACCAAGCCUGCGAUCGGUAGCUGGUCUGAGAGGAUGAUCAGCCACACUGGGACUGAGACACGGCCCAGACUCCUACGGGAGGCAGCAGUGGGGAAUAUUGGACAAUGGGCGAAAGCCUGAUCCAGCCAUGCCGCGUGAGUGAAGAAGGCCUUCGGGUUGUAAAGCUCUCUCAGCGGGGACGAUGAUGACGGUACCCGCAGAAGAAGCCCCGGCUAACUUCGU